rnacentral:rRNA from 1 species
UACAUAGGGUGCAAGCGUUGUCCGGAAUUAUUGGGCGUAAAGAGCUCGUAGGUGGUUCGUCACGUCGGAUGUGAAAAUCUGGGGCUUAACCCCAGACCUGCAUUCGAUACGGUCGGACUGGAGUGUGGUAGGGGAGACUGGAAUUCCUGGUGUAGCGGUGGAAUGCGUAGAUAUCAGGAGAAACACCAAUGGCGAAGGCAGUUCUCUGGGCCAUUACUGACGCUGAGGAGCGAAAGCGUGGGGAGCACACAGGUUUAGAUACCCUGGUAGCCCACGCCGUAAACGAUGGGCACUAGUUGUGGAAACCUUCCACGGUUUCUGCGACGCAGCUAACGCAUUAAGUGCCCCGCCUGGGGAGUACGAUCGCAAGAUUA